rnacentral:rRNA from 1 species
UACGUAGGUGGCAAGCGUUGUCAGGAUUUAAUGGGCGUAAAGAGCGCGCAGGCGGUCGGAUAAGUCGAAUGUGAAAGCCCCCGGCUCAACUGGGGAGGGUCAUUCGAUACUGUUCGACUCGAAGGCAGGAGAGGGAAGUGGAAUUCCCGGUGUAGUGGUGAAAUGCGUAGAUAUCGGGAGGAACACCAGUGGCGAAGGCGACUUCCUGGCCUGUUCUUGACGCUGAGGCGCGAAAGCUAGGGGAGCAAACGGG